rnacentral:rRNA from 1 species
UACGGGGGGAGCAAGCGUUGUUCGGAUUUACUGGGCGUAAAGGGCGCGUAGGCGGUCAGUGCAAGUCAGUUGUGAAAUCUCCGAGCUUAACUCGGAAAGGUCAACUGAUACUGCUCGACUAGAGUGCGGAAGGGGCAACUGGAAUUCUUGGUGUAGCGGUGAAAUGCGUAGAUAUCAAGAGGAACACCUGCGGCGAAGGCGGGUUGCUGGGCCGACACUGACGCUGAUGCGCGAAAGCGUGGGGAGCGAACAGG